UUUCCGUAGGUGAACCCGCGGAAGGAUCAUUAUUGUAUAACCGAGGUGCGAGGGCUGUCGCUGACCCGAAAGGUCGUGCACGCCCGAGUGCCCGCACACACAUCCAUCUCACCCCUAUGUGCACCACCGCGUGGGUCCCCCUUUGGCUUGUUCGGAGGGGGGCUUACGUUUUCACACAAACUUUGUAUGCAGUGUAGAAUGUAUUUUUUGUUUUUGCGAUCACGCAAUCAAUACAACUUUCAACAACGGAUCUCUUGGCUCUC
rnacentral:misc_RNA from 1 species